UGGGGAAUAUUGCACAAUGGAGGGAACUCUGAUGCAGCGACGCCGCGUGAACGAAGAAGGCUUUCGAAUCGUAAAGUUCUUUUAUAUGGGAAGAUAAUGACGGUACCAUAAGAAAAAGCCCCGGCUAACUACGUGCCAGCAGCCGCGGAAAUACGUAGGGGGCUAGCGUUGUCCGGAAUCACUGGGCGUAAAGGGUUCGCAGGCGGAAAUGCAAGUCAGGUGUAAAAGGCAGUAGCUUAACUACUGUAAGCAUUUGAAACUGCAUAUCUUGAGAAGAGUAGAUGUAAGUUGAAUUUAUAGUGUAUCGGUGAAAUGCAUAGAUAUUAAAAAGAAUACCGGUUGCGAAGGCGACUUACUGGGCUCAUUCUGACGCUGAGGAACGAAAGCGUGGGUAGCAAACAGG
rnacentral:rRNA from 1 species